rnacentral:rRNA from 1 species
GUUGUAUGGUUAAGUGACUAAGCGUACACGGUGGAUGCCUUGGCAGUCAGAGGCGAUGAAAGACGUAGUAACUUGCGAUAAGCCCAGAUUAGGUAGUAACAACCAUUUGAGUCUGGGAUUUCUGAAUGGGGAAACCCACGUGCAUAAGCACGUAUCCUUACCUGAAUACAUAGGGUAAGGAGGCGAACCGGGGGAACUGAAACAUCUAAGUACCCCGAGGAAAAGAAAUCAACCGAGAUUCCGAAAGUAGCGGCGAGCGAAAUUGGACUAGCCCUUAAGCUUUACACGCGUUAGACGAACGGUCUGGAAAGUCCGACGAUACAGGGUGAUAGUCCCGUAGUUGACGACGUGUGUU